UGAAAUAUGAUAAAAUCCUGGAAUAAUAUCUAUAAUUUAUCUAUAGUAUCUGCUCCACUAAAAUAAAAUGAUAAUAUCCUGCCAUCCUGGAAAUUGAGUGAUGCUAAUAUAAUAGAAUAAACUUUGCCUAAAACUACCAAAACUUCAAGACCCAUAAGUGAAAUCUAAGUCUUCGAUGGCUUCUACUCUAACACAAACCACACAAACCAUAAAGUUUCCACCUCUUCAUUCUAUAUAAGCAUACGAAUGAGUCAUACUGAUCAUCAUUCAUUAGUAAAUUAAGAUACAAUACUAAGAUGGCAUCUUCUAAAGUAUCUUCCAUGCUUCUCUUUCUCCUCCUUCUCGUUCUUGUGUUUCCCCAUAUGGAUAAAGCCCUUGGUGAAGAAAGACAGCUCCACGAACUUAAAGGCACAGAGCAUCCCGAUCAACUGAUGACGGUUGGAAGGAGCCUUCUCUUUCGCAUCCCUCCAUGCCCACCGUCCUUAUGUAAGCCUCGUUCGAUAAGAAUUCCUCCCCGACUUCGUACACCUCCACCCCCUCCACGGCAUUGAAGGUUUCCAAAAGGCAAAAACACAUGGAUCCCAAAAUAUUUGGAUGAAAAUAUAUUUUCGUAAUUCCUCACUAUAAAUGUAAUUCUGAAAUUUUCUUUCAAAAUAAAGAGAUCAUGCCACUCGGGAUGAUGGUAUGAUGAUAUGUUGUUGUAAGUUUUAAGCUAUUGUAUGAUGAUAUAUUUGUUGAUAUUAUUCAACGUAAAUAAAUAUAGUUUAUGGA